rnacentral:lncRNA from 1 species
GGAAGAUCAUAGCCAGAGAGUGGCUAUUAUAAAACCAGUGUAGGAAGAGGGCCUGAAACCAAGCAUCAACCGGAGGAGAGGACAAGGAAGACGCAGGAAAACAUUAAAGAAAAAGUAAGAGUACAGUAUAAAUGAGAAAGAAGAGAUCUGAAUAAAAAUGAAAGAAUUGGUAAAGAAGAGCAAAGAAAAGAUAGAGACCCCAAAACUUUAAAAAAGAAAGAAG